AUCUUUCCCAGUUUUUCUGUCUUUCCCAAACCACGAUCACCAGGCUGGUUCCAAUCUUUAGGAAAGACAACACAUCAUGUAAUUUCUGAUACAUUGUCCGCUUGAGAAUUUACAGUAAAGGGGAUAAAACGGCUCAAAGCUGGAUCCAGGCUGAACUUGUUGCAAAGUAAUCAGGAAGAGAGAAAGGAACCCAAAAAAUGCCAAACAUGCCAGAAACGACAAGGAUUUGAAGCUUCCAGAUCCUGUGAUAGAGCGAGUGAGAGAGAGAAAAAGAAACAAACCACAAUAUUUUCUGCUUACCUGGAACAGUUGAAAUGUCUGGGACUUUUUUUUUUUUUUUUUAAAGAAAUGUUAUCUUUGUAGCAAUUGGUUUAAUGUAUCUGGGGACCAGGAGUAGGCACUGAAUGGGGGGAAAGAGGAGGCAGAUCUGGUCAGCACUUUGUUGGGAAAGACUUGUAUUUUUUUUUUUUUUUCUUUUGGGCAGCCCGGAGUAGGAUUGUCUCUGCCCCCCUCCUCUUGUCUGAUGAAGGUCAGGUGAGGAUGAGGAGGCUCAGCUGGCACUGCCACUGAUAGUAUAGUCGCUGUUGUUGUUGGUGCUGGUUGGGAAGCAGGCUUGGUAUUUUGGAAAGGUGACAGCUUUUCAGAGGAAUCUCUGGAAUGAAAGAGAGGAAUGAAA